rnacentral:rRNA from 1 species
AAAUUUUUUCUUAAUUUUUUAAAAUUAAUAAUUUAAAUUAAUUAAAAUAAUAAUAAUAAUAGGUUAUUUUAGUAUAGUUAAAGAAAAAAUAAUAUAAUUUAUAGAAUAAUAGUAUAGUAAUAGAAAGAUGAAAUAUAUGAAAAUUUAAUUAUUAAAAAGUAAAUUUAAUUUAUUGUAUCUUGUGUAUCAGAGAAUAUUUAUUAAUAAUUGUUUAUUAUAAUUUUUUCGAAAUUUAAAGAGUUAAUUAAUUAUAUUAGUUAUUGUAAAAAAAAUAUUAAUAAUAAUUAAUUAGAAAUGAAAUGUUAAUCGUUUUAAAUGAUAUCUAAUUUCUUAAGAAAUAAAUUUAAUUUAGUUGUUUAUUUAGUAAAUUAUUUUAUGUUUAGAUAAUUUAUAUUUAUGUAAAUAAUUAUAUUAAAGGGGAUAAGCUUUUUAAUAAAUUUUUAUAUUAAUAUUUAAAUUAUUUUUAAAAAUAUAAGAAUAAAAUUAUUUAUUAUUUUUAUUUUAUUAUAAAAAAUUUUUAAGAGAAUGUUAAUUUUAAAAUAUUAAAAUUAAUAAGAUUUAUUAAGAGUUUUAUUUUAAUUUUUAAAAUAAAGAUAUAAUGAUAUUAUUAGUAUAUAAAUUUAAUAUGUAAUAUAUAAGAAUUGAUUGAUUAAUUUUAAGAAUUCGGCAAAAUUUUAUAUUCGCUUGUUUAACAAAAACAUGUCUUUUUGAUUUAUAAUUUAAGGUCUAAUCUGCCCACUGAAUUAAAUUUUAAAGGGCUGCGGUAAUUUAACCGUACAAAGGUAGCAUAAUAAAUAGUUUUUUGAUUAAAGACUGGAAUGAAUGAUUGGACGAAAUAUAAGCUGUUUUAAAUUAAUUAAAAUAGAAUUUAAUUUUUUAGUUAAAAAGCUAAAAUAAUUUUAAAAGACGAGAAGACCCUAUAAAUCUUUAUAAAAAUUAAGUUAAUUUAAAUUAUUUAUUAGUUAUAAAUUUAAUUUAAAAUUUAUUUUAUUGGGGUGAUAUAAAAAUUUUUUAAACUUUUUAUCUAAUAAUAUUUAAAUUAAAAGGAAAUAUGAUCUAUUUUAAUAAUUAAAAGAAUAAGAUACUUUAGGGAUAACAGCGUAAUUUUGAUUUUAAGUUCUUAUUAAAAUUAAAGAUUGCGACCUCGAUGUUGGAUUAAAAUUUAUUUUGAAUGUAACCGUUUAAAUAUUUAGUCUGUUCGACUAUUAAAAUUUUACAUGAUCUGAGUUCAAACCGGUGUAAGCCAGGUUGGUUUCUAUCUUUAAAAAAAAUUAAAUUUUUUAGUACGAAAGGAUUGAAAAUUUUAAAUAGAUUUAAUUAAAUUGAAUUAAUUUAAUUGUAAUAAUA